CAGAGUUGCAAAACUCCCAACCCUUUGUGAACGAACCUGACAGUUGCUUCGGCGGGAGGCCCCUCAGGGUCUCGCCCCCCGCGGGCACCCCGCCGGAGUCCUACAAACUCUUGAUUAUUUUGGCAUCUCUGAGUAUCUUACAAAUAAGUUA
rnacentral:misc_RNA from 1 species